AUUGUUUCCUGCAUAGAUGACAUUGCAGUUGAAACUGUUUUAUUCAAAGAUAGGUCCAAAAUAUUUUAAGUAUAGUCGGUGAGGAUUUCACAAUAAUUAGAUGUACAGGGUGCGGAGCCUGACUGUCCAACAUAGCAGACAUUUGCGGAGUGAGCUCCUGAGCUUUUCACACUAAUUAGUCGAUCAAACAGAUUGCAAUUUUUACCACAAGAACAUAGGGGAAACCUUAGCAAAAUGAAAGAUACCUGACUUUGAGCUUUCCUCGUCUGGAUCGUCUAAAUAGCACCUAUUGUGGCCUUGAAGCACAAAAGGCGUAGGAGAGGUGGCCACUCUCCAGACGCUGAACCCGGCUGAUAAACUCAGACUUCUCUGCUUCACCCUACCCCUUUGGAUUGGUAGGGAUUAUCCUGGUCUCAGGAGGCAAUCCUACACCAUACAUCCCGUAGCCCAGCGCUGAAACGUUACAAGGCUAACAGUGAUGACGGUGUCUGUAACCAGAGACUCGGCUGUGACCUUACUUACUGCAUCCCUUGCUAUGCUGGACCUAAUCCUUGUGAAAUUCGUAGCUCGCAUAAUGGCAAGACAUAGGGGCUCAUGGUCAUCUAGCCCGGAAAACCCUGUAGCCCAGCAGCAACCUACCUCUUUACCCAUGACAGCAUCAUUACAGCAACCCAAGCAAAGCCCGACAGGUCAGGUUGAUCCUUAUUCUAAACUGUGAAUGCUGGAAGAAUUUGGAUCUUCCAGUAAUUUUGGGCCCUAUGAACUCGAGGUGAGACCUGCAGUGGUUUGGAGAUGUGUCUUGGCCCAUUGUUCUGGGACUCUGCUCUUUCCUGCUUCUCAAGGUGGCAGUGACUGCCUAAUAGAGAUCCUGUGGCAAUUGUGUGCGGGACUACAACCUGCACUCCCAAGCUACAACUACCCAUACACAUGGGAUCUCCUGCAGAGAGCUCAGCUGUUCUCCCAUAAUUUUGGAAUUGGGUGAGGACAAAAGUGGUCCCUGGCUGUUCUUCAGCGAACUGUGGUGACUCCAUUCUCUUGGGCCUUACUCAUACUUUUUCCGAGGUGGACUUACGUUAUUUUAUUUUUUAUUUUAUAGUAGCUAACAGUCAAUCCAGCUGAAUUAAUCCCUAUGGUUACGUUGGUUGGUGGGCCUUUCAGAAUAUGUUACUUCCUGUGUUGUCGCUUACCCCAUGUUACAUUUUUUUUGUUUGUUUGUUUUCUUUUCUUCUUAUCUCAUUUACUCCUUAAUUGACACACACCUGUCUGAUUUACCUUUUAAAAAAAAUUAAAAAAUUAAUAAAUAUCAAAAUAAACAAAACUGUAGCAUUUCUCAGUACUUUGUUACAUAACCAAGACCUUUACUACGGUUAGUAGACAUUAUAAAUUGUCUUUCCAAG